GUCAUCACGCCCGAGUAUUUGACAUUCGCAAUUAUCUGCAAAUACCCUGAUCAGUUUGUAUAUGAAACACUUUUUUUCCUGCCUUAAGGUUGGAAUCUGGUAAGUUUCAGACAAGUGGUUGCAGGGGGAGAUGACCCAGGGGACCGUGCGGGACAGGGCCGGUGAACCCGAUUCCGCGAGGCGGGCGUCUCGAAGGGACUGGUCUGCGUGCCUCACCGGGUUCCCCAGCCUGGCUCCGAGGAAAGGCCGCGCGGAGGCGAGAAAGGGCCCACAUCUCGAGUCUCCAGUCUCUCCUUGAAAAGAGCACCCCCUAAUCCCGGAGGAAGGGAGGGUGAAGGAGGAGGGGAGAGCCCACUACAGGCAAGGCAGGAAGGUUAAUCAUUUUGUUAACCGGAAAGGGUGCUGCCCCGCCUGGCCGUCGUCACCGAGCGUGUCAGUCACCCGCUCUCGAUUUCGCCGCAGAAUUACCUGCUCAAAGAGCCACCCCAAGAAGCCCUCAGCUCCGAGGUCUUCCCGCCCGUCGUCUGCGGGAAGUAAACGGCGUCCUCCCUCCAAAGAAGUGGAUGCCCCUUCGACUCUCCUCCGCCCCCCGGCGGUUCCUAAAUCUAGGAAAGCCAGCCCCGGCAUCGCUCACUACUCCUGCACCUCAGCUCUGGGAUACCCGCUCAGUACAGACAGACCAUCAACCAAAAAAGAAAAGAAGAAAAGAAAAGUGGUGGUGGGGGUGGGGGUGGGCAGGGAGCGUAAAGUAGCGAGAUCACUUAUUUGACUCUUCUGUUUUCUUAGGAACCUGAUCCUGGCCCCCGGCAGAGCAUAAGGGCCCGAGGCCAGGGACCUAGAGGCCGGACCAAGUUCGCGCGAGGUGUUCACAGCCUAGGCGCCCCGGGCUUGGCUUCGUACUCUGCAACAAGCCAAGCUCCCUUGCCACGAGUAUAUCAGCAACUUCAGAAAUAAACACCAGCGAAACCCCUUCCCACAUUAGCUUGUUGCUGUGCUACUGACACUGGGCUUAGUCGAUGUUCACACCUAUUACAUUUUUCCGGAAAGUGGGAGGAGCAGGGGGUAGAGAAAGCUGUGUGUAUUGAGGGAAGGGGAGAUGUGUGCAACACCUUCCAGAAAAAUGGGGAGGUAGUUUAGAAAGUUUUUCUCUGUAACAGCACAGCUUCUGAGAAGGCAGAGAGAAGAAAGCAGACAGGAAACGAAUCCCUUCCUCCUCUCCCCUUUACCCCCUUCCUUCACUCCCUAGACCAAGCUGGUCACCCGGCUGGGAAUCAAGAUUGUGUGGCUGGGAAGACACCAGUCUCUGUGCUCGGGUUCAGCCCAGUCGGGCAAGAAAGUCUGGGCAGCUGGAGAAGGUCGUCACAGUCUCCCGUGGAAUCUUGUUGCCUGAGAGCCCCAUAACGGAAAGGGCUAAGACGACUCUUCCACACACAGGUCGCAGCCCCUGCCGCGGAGGAUCCCCAGGAAGAUGCUGGGGACGCUCUGAGCAUCGGCCUUUCUUUACCCCCGACUCCCUGGAGCUUGGUCUCGGGAUGCCAACUUGGGGCACGGAGGCGACGGGCUGCUCCGAAGCUGGAGGGUUUCUGCUUGGGUCAGAGGGAUCACGACCUCAGCAGAGCCAGGAGAGGUUGGGUGACACCCACUGCGUAUUGCACUUGACUCAAAACUGCCCUCGGCCUGCGGAAGAGGCGAGGGCAAGAAGCCUGGUGGCGGGUCAAACCUUCACCCUAUUAUUUUCUAUCAUUUUUUAUGCCCAUAUAUUUGUUAAAUGUAUGGCUGCUAUACACCAACAGCUUAUUCUACAAGAAGUGCCCCCGAGGAGGAUUGGGUUAAGCUUUGCAAAUUUGGCUUCCCAGGUAAUGCGCUUCAUUAUUCUGCUCCCGACUUACCCACCACACCAGUGGGUACCCGGAGCAGCACCCACUUGGCAGAACUGAUGACUGCUUGGGCCCAGCGGAGUGCGCAUUGCGCUAACACGCGCACGGGAAUUGCACCCUUGCCGGAGCCUCCGCACCGUGCGCCCUUCAAAGAGCUGGCGACCCCGCUCACGUGUAAGCAACCUCCCACUUUGAAACUAAUUCGCACCCGGGUCUUUCACCCCAAAGGACUUUGCUGCGGACGCUGCUCUGACCCAAGACGCGGGAGAGAAGUCCCAAAGGCUACAGCCAGGGGCUGGGGGACUCCUCUGCUCACCUUAGUCCUUGAUUUCGAAGGCCCCAAUUAACUAUCUGUUGUGUCAGAAUCGGCGAGUGCAAAGUAGCUGCGCCCCGCUGACGCGCUCUCUCCUGGGUCCGGGUAUCCCAGGGCAUCCGGAGCUGGGGAGGGUUGUGCGGACUACCCAAGGCACGCGCAGAUACCGGGCAGGGAAGAAGGGCUCCGUGUUCCAAGGAUGGUCGUUUACCUCUCCUGAGAUCAGCCCUAAUCCCUUGGUAACUUAAGCGCCUCUGAACUCGGGGAGCGCUUGGUGGGGCGCCUCCCUGCAUCCACCCCUACCCCUGGCUCCUUCCCAGGCCCAGCAUCUUUCCCACCAUUCUCACCCCCACCACCCCCACGGCCCCGCCCGUUUAGAGGCGUGCGGUGGGCACUUGGUUUACAGAACCGGCGUUUCAGAUGUUUAUUUGCAACUAAUUUCUUGUGCUGGAAAAUGCUUGUUACCCGGGCGGAGCGCUUCCGCUCUGCGCGGUCCGGCCCGGCGGGCGGUAGCUCGCUGAUCCCUCCGGCGAAGCCUCCAAGGAGCGGGCGGCUGGGAGAGGUUGUGCCACCCGGGACCAAGCCAUCGGCGCUGCUCCGGACUCCCGGUAGGGGGAGCCGCCGCGGGCGCCAGGCCGGAUUGUGUUCUGGCCUCGGGGCGGCCCUGCUGCCAGCGGCCGGGACUCUCAGCACAGAGCUCGGGAGGACUCCACCUGCUCUCCAGAUAAGGCGCCAUGAGCAGAGAAGGGAACAGACGGCCAAGCUCCCUCCUAAUUCCCCGUUGUUGCAGAGCAAAGAAGAUGGGGGAGAACUAAUUAUAUUCUCUAGGUCUAAAUAUUGUUGAAAAAUUUGUAGGUGAGAUCACCUCCUUUGCCCAUAUCCAUAUAUAAUAUAUCCAUUACAUGUGUUUGCCCAUAUAUAUACGUAUGCCAUAUGUAAAUAUGUACGAGUGUGUAUGUAUGUGUAUAGCAGUGGUUUAGAAUUAGUCUCAGUUCCACAAAUUUUGAGCCCUUUUAAUAUUUUAGGUGACCUAAUACCUUCUCACUGUAUUUUCCAAGUCACUUAUUUCCAAGAGUUUUAGGUGAUCCCAGCAUAGGAGCUGAGCAUAGGAGCUCAGAUGAGACUUGCCAGUUUUGCUGCAGUAAUGUCAGCAAAAGAGUCUCUCUCUUUCUGACUCUAUAGACUUAAGUAAGGGUUUACAGGCUUUCAUUUUAAGGUAUGACUGAUAUUUAGAGAACAAGACUAAACCAAGGUCAAGGGGAAAACAGUUAGACUGUGAACCUGCAGACCACUCCACUGCACCCAGUGUGGCCGUACACCUGUGCUGAACGGCCAGAGACUUCCUGGUCAAUACUCCCACAGAUAAAAGACUGCAGGAUCUGCUUAUACACAAAUCCAUCUUUCGCUGGGAACCCACAACUCAUAACAACUCUCCUAAUGCCAAGUCAUCAAGGCCUCUUGAAAGAGAAUCAUAAAAAACAAAGAAUUUCAAACUUGGAAGGAAACCUAAAGUUUACUGGUGAGGAGCUUGAACUGAGUAGAAGCAAAGAAUCAUACUCCAGAUGAGAAACGCCCCAUGCACUGAGCUGAGACUGGAACUCUCCUCUUCUUACUCUCAGUCCAACAACAUCACUCAAACAACCCUAUUACUUCAGUAGCAAUGAACUGUCUCUGGAUUUUAUUAAGCAUCUCACUAGUUCCUUUUCUUCAGCUGUAUGGCACCCUGUCUUCCUGUACACCAGAGGCUCCUCAGCUGGGUAAGGUGAGCCAACGUUACCAGGAGUAUAUGCUGAGAGGCCAUUUCAAAGUCUUUCAUAGAAGGCUGUGCUUGGGCAAGUAGAACUUUUCAUCAUACAGUCCCAGAGAUGUGAAGUUAUCAAGGUCAGAGAAGAGGAAAAGAGACUCAGAGAAACUGUGUUCUCUAGUCUUUCAUUCGGGAACAAAUGGUGUCGUACCAAAUGGCUGAAAAGAUCCCAGGCUUACUCUGAGAAACAUCUCUCUCUUCUGAAUUAAACUUGCACAGUGGCUAACAGUGUUUUGUUUGGUGUUGACAAAGUAAUAAAACGUUACCGUUUCUCUUUC
rnacentral:lncRNA from 1 species